rnacentral:rRNA from 1 species
UACGAAGGGGGCUAGCGUUGCUCGGAAUUACUGGGCGUAAAGGGCGCGUAGGCGGCACUGUUAGUCAGGCGUGAAAGUCCUGGGCUCAACCUGGGAACUGCGCUUGAUACGGCAGAGCUAGAGGAUGGAAGAGGCUCGCGGAAUUCCCAGUGUAGAGGUGAAAUUCGUAGAUAUUGGGAAGAACACCGGUGGCGAAGGCGGCGAGCUGGUCCAUUACUGACGCUGAGGCGCGCCAGCGUGGGGAGCAAACAGG